rnacentral:misc_RNA from 1 species
AACAAACAAAAUCAGUGUAUAUUAAUAAAAAGAUUACCAGUUAAUUAACAAUGAAGCGGGCAAAUUUUCUCCACCAAAUUAAUUAAUGUUGGAGAUGAUCAUCAUCAUAAUCAUCAUCACAUCACACGGAGAAGAAAAUUCAUCGACUUCAUCACCACUUGAGGAGGUAAUCUAGCUGUCUUUCUUUAUUAGUAAUCUGCUCAUCAUCUUCCAGCAG